rnacentral:tRNA from 1 species
CGGGAUGGAGCAGUAGGUAGCUCGUUGGACUCAUAAUCCAAAGGCCGUGGGUUCGAUUCCCUCUCCCG